rnacentral:rRNA from 1 species
CUAAGAGCGAAUGGUGGAUGCCUUGACUGGUAAAGGCGAUGAAGGACGUACUAGACUGCGAUAAGCUACGGGGAGCUGUCAAGAAGCUUUGAUCCGUAGAUUUCCGAAUGGGGCAACCCAAUGUAUAGAGAUAUACAUUACCUAUAUAGGAGCGAACGAGGGGAAUUGAAACAUCUUAGUACCCUCAGGAAAAGAAAUCAAUAGAGAUUGCGUCAGUAGCGGCGAGCGAAAGCGCAAGAGGGCAAACCCAGUGCUUGCACUGGGGGUUGUAGGACUGCAAUGUGCAAGAGGUGAGUUUAGCAGAACAUUCUGGAAAGUAUAGCCAUAGAGGGUGAUAGUCCCGUAUGCGAAAAACAAACCUUAGCUAGCAGUAUCCUGAGUAGGGCGGGACACGAGAAAUCCUGUCUGAAGCUGGGUCGACCACGAUCCAACCCUAAAUACUAAUACCAGAUCGAUAGUGCACAAGUACCGUGAGGGAAAGGUGAAAAGAACUGAGGUGAUCAGAGUGAAAUAGAACCUGAAACCAUUUGCUUACAAUCAUUCAGAGCACUAUGUAGCAAUACAGUGUGAUGGACUGCCUUUUGCAUAAUGAGCCUGCGAGUUGUGGUGUCUGGCAAGGUUAAGCAAACGCGAAGCCGUAGCGAAAGCGAGUCUGAAUAGGGCGCUUAGUCAGAUGCUGCAGACCCGAAACGAAGUGAUCUAUCCAUGAGCAAGUUGAAGCUAGUGUAAGAACUAGUGGAGGACUGAACCCAUAGGCGUUGAAAAGCCCCGGGAUGACUUGUGGAUAGGGGUGAAAGGCCAAUCAAACUUCGUGAUAGCUGGUUCUCUCCGAAAUAUAUUUAGGUAUAGCGUUGUGUCGUAAUAUAAGGGGGUAGAGCACUGAAUGGGCUAGGGCAUACACCAAUGUACCAAACCCUAUCAAACUCCGAAUACCUUAUAUGUAAUCACAGCAGUCAGGCGGCGAGUGAUAAAAUCCGUCGUCAAGAGGGAAACAACCCAGACUACCAGCUAAGGUCCCUAAAUCUUACUUAAGUGGAAAACGAUGUGAAGUUACUUAAACAACCAGGAGGUUGGCUUAGAAGCAGCCAUCCUUUAAAGAAAGCGUAAUAGCUCACUGGUCUAGUGAUUUUGCGCGGAAAAUAUAACGGGGCUAAAGUAAGUACCGAAGCUGUAGACUUGACUUUGUCAAGUGGUAGGAGAGCGUUCUAUUUGCGCCGAAGGUAUACCGGUAAGGAGUGCUGGAGCGAAUAGAAGUGAGCAUGCAGGCAUGAGUAGCGAUAAUUAAUGUGAGAAUCAUUAACGCCGUAAACCCAAGGUUUCCUACGCGAUGCUCGUCAUCGUAGGGUUAGUCGGGUCCUAAGUCGAGUCCGAAAGGGGUAGACGAUGGCAAAUUGGUUAAUAUUCCAAUACCAACAUUAGUGUGCGAUGGAAGGACGCUUAGGGCUAAGGGGGCUAGCGGAUGGAAGUGCUAGUCUAAGGUCGUAGGUGCUUAUACAGGCAAAUCCGUAUAAGAAUACACCGAGAACUGAAAGGCUUUUUGAAGUCUUCGGAUGGAUAGAAGAACCCCUGAUGCCGUCGAGCCAAGAAAAGUUUCUAAGUUUAGCUAAUGUUGCCCGUACCGUAAACCGACACAGGUGGGUGGGAUGAGUAUUCUAAGGCGCGUGGAAGAACUCUCUUUAAGGAACUCUGCAAAAUAGCACCGUAUCUUCGGUAUAAGGUGUGGUUCGCUUCGUAUUAGGAUUUACUCCGAAAGCGAAGAAACUUACAACAAAGAGUCCCUCCCGACUGUUUACCAAAAACACAGCACUCUGCUAACUCGUAAGAGGAUGUAUAGGGUGUGACGCCUGCCCGGUGCUCGAAGGUUAAUUGAUGGGGUUAGCAUUAGCGAAGCUCUUGAUCGAAGCCCGAGUAAACGGCGGCCGUAACUAUAACGGUCCUAAGGUAGCGAAAUUCCUUGUCGGUUAAAUACCGACCUGCAUGAAUGGCGUAACGAGAUGGGAGCUGUCUCAAAGAGGGAUCCAGUGAAAUUGUAGUGGAGGUGAAAAUUCCUCCUACCCGCGGCAAGACGGAAAGACCCCGUGGACCUUUACUACAGCUUGACACUGCUAUUUGGAUAAGAAUGUGCAGGAUAGGUGGGAGGCUUUGAGUAUAUGACGCCAGUUGUAUAUGAGCCAUUGUUGAGAUACCACUCUUUCUUAUUUGGGUAGCUAACCAGCUUGAGUUAUCCUCAAGUGGGACAAUGUCUGGUGGGUAGUUUGACUGGGGCGGUCGCCUCCCAAAUAAUAACGGAGGCUUACAAAGGUUGGCUCAGAACGGUUGGAAAUCGUUCGUAGAGUAUAAAGGUAUAAGCCAGCUUAACUGCAAGACAUACAAGUCAAGCAGAGACGAAAGUCGGUCUUAGUGAUCCGGUGGUUCUGUGUGGAAGGGCCAUCGCUCAAAGGAUAAAAGGUACCCCGGGGAUAACAGGCUGAUCUCCCCCAAGAGCUCACAUCGACGGGGAGGUUUGGCACCUCGAUGUCGGCUCAUCGCAUCCUGGGGCUGGAGCAGGUCCCAAGGGUAUGGCUGUUCGCCAUUUAAAGCGGUACGCGAGCUGGGUUCAGAACGUCGUGAGACAGUUCGGUCCCUAUCUGCCGUGGGCGUAAGAAGAUUGAAGAGAUUUGACCCUAGUACGAGAGGACCGGGUUGAACAAACCACUGGUGUAGCUGUUGUUCUGCCAAGAGCAUCGCAGCGUAGCUAAGUUUGGAAAGGAUAAACGCUGAAAGCAUCUAAGCGUGAAGCCAACUCUAAGAUGAAUCUUCUCUAAGCUCUCUAGAAGACUACUAGUUUGAUAGGCUGGGUGUGUAAUGGAUGAAAGUCCUUUAGCUGACCAGUACUAAUAGAGCGUUUGGCUUAUCU